AUACCUAGGUUACUACACAAAACAUAUAAUGUGACGACAUCAGCUAUACUGAAAAAUGUACAAACGAAAUAGUGAUUCAUUUUAACCCUCGAGCAACGUUUCAUCAUUGGUGGUAAGCUCAAUCAUGAAUUUUUCUAAGAUUUUUUUCAUGGUGACGUUCCUCGGAAUCUUAUCUAUUGCAUAUAAUAUGCCGAUCAGGCACAAUUUAUUUUGUAUUUUAUUCAAAAUUGAUUGUCCACCUCCUCCGAAUCCGUGUAUCAAUCCGGGAGGACCAAUUAUAAUAGACCCCGGCCCCAUACAGAUGGAAAGAAGCAAUCUUGUGGCUUGUCCGCUGGAAGAAUGACGAUUAUGUCUUAGCCAAUCAAUUCAUUGUAGCCUAACUUUUGUUUUUCUCUGCGACAACCUCAUUGAAAACUUUUCAAUCUUUUUCA